rnacentral:lncRNA from 1 species
UGUGUGCGUUUGAUUUGGGGAGAGGGAGAAUAGUAAUAGGGUUGGGGGCUUGGGGGUGUUGGGCUUUGGCUAUGGGCCGAUUUUAUUAAAGUCUUUGGGCCCUGAUUUAAAUUGAAACAUCGGGCUUAUGUUUUUAAAGAAAUGGGCUACCUUUUUUUUUUUUUUUAACUGGGCUGCUAUUGGGCCGAUUUCUUUUAUUUACUUGGGCCAAGUCAGUAUUGGGCUCAGUUUAUUUAAUUAGUUAUGGGCCGAUUUUUAAUUUGAAAUUGGGCUAAUUUUAUUUCAUCAUGGACUCAGUUUU